UACGGAGGGUGCAAGCGUUAUCCGGAUUCACUGGGUUUAAAGGGUGCGUAGGCGGGCAGGUAAGUCAGUGGUGAAAUCUCUGGGCUUAACUCAGAAACUGCCGUUGAUACUAUCUGUCUUGAGUUCUGUGGAGGUGAGCGGAAUAUGUCAUGUAGCGGUGAAAUGCUUAGAUAUGACAUAGAACACCAAUUGCGAAGGCAGCUCACUACACAGCGAUUGACGCUGAGGCACGAAAGCGUGGGGAUCAAACAGG
rnacentral:rRNA from 1 species